CAGCAGAUCGAGGGAUGUGAUCAUUCCCCUCUAUUCGAUAUUGGUGAGGCCUCAUCUGGAGUACAGUGUCCGGUGUUGGGCCCCACACUAACAGAAGGAUGUGGCAAAAUUGGAAAGAGUCCAG